rnacentral:SRP_RNA from 1 species
GCCAGGUGUGGUGGUGCACACCUGUAAUCCCAGUUACUUGGGAGGCUGAGGCAGGAGAAUUGCUUGAACCUGGGAGGCAGAGGUUGCAGUGAGCCAAGAUUGCACCACUGCACUCCAGCCUGGGCAACAGAGCAAGACUCUGUCUCAG